CCCUUACUUGGAUCUGUGGUUAGUAUUUAAAUCGUAGAUUGUAUUUAGUUAGUUUUUAAUACCAACUGCAGAUUCAAGUGAGGG
ensembl:miRNA